rnacentral:tRNA from 3 species
CAAGGCGUAGCUAUAAAUCUCAAAGCAUUCAGCUUACACCUGAAAGAUACCUCUAUAAACAAGGUCGCCUUGA